AUAAAUAUAGCCUGAUCAACUAUAUUUAUCCUGGAUUUGACCAAUGUACGUCGAGGAAUGGUCAUAGUGGACAACAAGUCAAAAACUUACCAAAUAAAAUUUUUAGACUCGCAAAUUUGAAAUACUAUAGGAGUAUUGUUAUAAAAUAAUAAGACAAUGAAAAACUUGCACACCAUAAGAUAUAGUUAAACUUAGGAUGCCGUUAAAUAGAAAUUUCCUUUCUUAUAAAAUUCUCAUACCUCUAUCCUAGUACAGACAAAUGGCCGGAUUCCAUUUACCGGGAGAUCCUUACUACCCAAACCAAGGCAACGGCGGAUGGAUAGAAGAAGACCCGGAAAAAGACCCGGAGGAAAUCGAAGAAGAAGUCGAAGUUGAAGUCGGAGAGGAAUUCGAAGUCGACGAGGAGGUCGAGGAGGAAGAAGAAGCUACCGAUGGAACAGACUCUGAGCGGGAAGUAAUCAACCCUCCUGCUCCCUGUCAUCCCUAAGUCCGAAUAGGUUACCAACCUCCCAUUCCCAUUUGGGGAAGCCACCUCUACUAUUGGAGCCGUCAACAAGGUGUACGCCCUCCCUUCGGCAUGUGUCGGGAGUUUUACAAUGUCAGUGGUGGAGGCUCAGCCGAUCGAGUGCUUCCCGUCCUUGUGGGCCAAAUAGCCACCCAGACCUACCAGUCAGACAAGCAAGCGGCCAGAAUCCGUGAGGUCAAUGCUGCUGCACAGGGUAACGCCGCAGACAUCCGUCGUCUGGACGGACUACACGAAAGUACGCAACUCCACACAGGGACGCUUCAGAAGCAAAUGGUGACAGCACUGGUAGAAAUAAGAGAGAUGAAGGAACAACAAGCAGUUCUUGAAAGGCGCCUAAUGGGAGUCAAGCAGUCGGAUGCCGAGUCUAGCUCCAAACGCACAAUACACCGCAAGUAGAACUUGCUCAACUCCAACAAUUUUGAUAUAGAAUAGGACCUCGGAUAAAGUUUUACUUAUUUCCUUUGAACUUGUAAUCGGAGACCUCUAGAUAGGUCAAGUUUUCCUAAACACGAAGCAUGAUGUAACGCACCGUAUGUGUGACAUAUAUAUAAAUAUGAAGUACUUCUUUACAUACCUCUCAAAACUUAUGGGAUUAUCUAAAUUGUUAUAUCUACUUUGAAAGCAAAAACUAAAGUCAAAACAAAUUACAAGAUACAACUAACCCUCUAGUACACGAUUGUCAAAUCAUUAGAAACUUAUAGUGUUCAUUAUUAUUUCUCUACCAGAAUAUGCCUCCUUGUAGGUCAGCACGCAGAAACUUGGCUCCAACACCACCUCUACCGCCCCCUCCAACUAUGGAUGCAGCUAUGUUCCAAAUUGUUGUAACAGCCGCUGUAACCGCAGCGGUGGUUCAAAUGAGCAACAACGGGUCAGGAGGAGGAAUAAACAGCUUUACAAAUGGCCAAAGCCAAGGCCGUUCCGGGGUAUGUACUUACAAAGAAUUCACCAACAGAAAACCUAUUCCCUUUUAUGGGACUGGGGGAGUGAUGGCUCUAUCCCAAUGGAUAGAGAAAACGGAAGUUGUAUUCGAAAUUGCGCUUGCCCGAAAGAAAGCAAAGUAAAAUUUGCCGCUUUUACUUUCUGCGAAAGAGCCCUAACGUGGUGGAACGGCCACGUCAAGGCACUAACCCUAGUGGUGGCGAACUACAUGGGUUGGGAAAACCUGAAACGAAUGCUCCUACAAAAGUACUGCCCAUGAGGCGAGAUUCAGAAGCUCGAACAGUAACUAUGGGGCCUUACGAUGGUAGGAUCGGACAUCGUAGGCUAUACCAACAAAUUCAGUGACUAGAUAAUACUUUGCCCAGGGAUGUUGGUCCUGGAAAACCAAAAGGUGGAGAGGUACAUCUGGGGACUAUCACCCCAACUUUGAGGGAGUGUGUUAGCCUCCAAACCCAUGACCUUCGACAGCGCCAAGGAACUGGCGCAAUCUCUCGUUGAUCAUGGUGUCUGUCAAGGCGUCACGGCAAUCGUCGCUGAACCAACCAAAGGGAACAAUAACAACGAUAACAAUGCCAACAACAACAGCAAGAAGAAAUUCUGGAACAAGAGAAAGGGGCAAACUUUGCUAGAACCUUCAAAGAAACAAAUGGUGGCGGUUCAUGCCACUACUGCUCCCACUACAACUGCUGCUACCCCUGCGCCAACAGAACAAUAUGUUGGGAACCUGCCAAAGUGCAGCAAAUGCAACUACCAUCACCACGGUAAUUGCCGUGAAAUGCACUGUUAAAACUGCGACAGGAAAGGGCACACUACUCGUUUCUGUAAGGCACCGGCGCGACCAAUCACUCAAGUUCCUUCCUGGUAUUGGGAUAAGCCAGGCAUGUUAUGGGUGUGGAGAAACUAGGCACUUCAAGAGGGAUUGCCCCAAGGCAAAGAAUGUUGGCAGCGUCGGGAGAGUGCUGGCGAUAGGUCAAAAUGAAGCAAUAGCUGACCCCACGGUGGUUAUGGGUACGUUUCUCCUCGAAAACAUUUAUGCAUGCAUACUCUUUGACUGCAGUGUGGAGAGAAGUUUUGUGAGUCAUAAAUUCAAACUCCUACUUAAUCAAAAACCCCAACCACUCAAUAACAUAUUCACUGUAGAAAUGGAAAACGGUAAAAACGGAAAGCGCAAGCGAUAUGUGUUGGGUUUUGAGCAAUCUAACACUUCCUAAGUGUGCAUGCAACCCUAAUAAACCUUGGAUCUAUGUUUGUCUAAAUACAUGCAAAAUAAUAAUUUUCCAAGGUUUAUAAGCUAUCUAACAUGGCAUGGGGAACAUUUCAACAUAAAAGAGUUAGAAGAGAUUACAUACCUUUGUUGUGUUGGGUUCUUAGGAGUUUGAGGGCCAAGCACCAAUAGUGUGAAUGCCUCAAAUGGAAUCACAAACACCACAAACUCUUGGAAAACUUUGAGAGAGUAUACACACUCUUGUAUUUUCGGCCACACACAUGCACACACACACUAGAACACUAGCUUUCUCUUAGGCUAUCUUAGGCACUUUUUCAUGCUCCAUAAGCAUGCUUAUAUAGUAUGCAUGGUUAGGGUGAAACCCUAAUAACCCAUGUCUUUUCCUAUUCCAAGGAUCCAUGGGUUAAAAGCUCCAUGGAUCAUCCAUGGACUUCCACAUAAGCCUAGCCCAUUAACAAAUGAGUAUUAGCCCACACUAUAUAAAACAAAUAGCCCAUAAUUUAAUUAGUAUUCCUUUUAAUCUCUAAAUUAAUCCAUAAUUAAUUUAAGACUAAAACUAAUUAAAUAACGUAACUUCAUAUUAAUAUAUUAUAACUCAUAAUAUAUUAAUAAACAUAUGUGUAUAACUCUCAUAAAAUUAUCCAUAAUAGUUUGGAUGAGAUGCAACCCAAAUGGACCAUGCCGGUCGGGUCAAGUAUAUACCAAAUAAGUUAUGGACUUAGACACCUUAUCCAACAGACUCCCACUUGGAUAAGUCUAAUAACUAUAUUUGCCUAUAACUUCAGGAACCAACCAACAAUCGUAGCUCUCGAAAACUCCCUCGAACAAUGAAGACUCUGUCGAACUAUGAAGCGCCAUUUUAGAUAAGUGAUCACAUAAUCCUCUGUUCUCAUGAUAUCAGCCGGACAAACACAUGGAACUAUGUCUUGCUUAUUGUCUAGCAGUUGUUUCUCGAUUAUCCGAUUUGUUUGACGAAGAACUUCACUGAACACAUCGGUUUAGUUCUGACCAGGCCUGGUAUAUGGGUCAACACAAAAUCAUCGAGGGGCCCGGAUAUCGCUUCUAUUUCUAGAAGGAACAGAUAAACUUCGACUGAUAUGCUUGUUCUACUACUUAUUGAAUUGUACACAAAGGCACGUUUUAUAACAUCAAGUUACUGAUGCGUUUACGUGCAAUCAAUGCACAACCAACUCAUAGGUAACAACUCAUAUCUCUAGGUUUAAAGAUUUAUAUGAUGUUAUCGUCUCACGAUCACUCGAGAUAAAUUCCAUGAAGUGAUACAAGUGAGCGUGGGUUUAUACCAAUACUCAUAACUUAUGAGUACUCAUGAAUGUUGCAGCAACCAUUGCCAUGCCUAAACACCUUUAAGGCAUCUACAAACCCAAUUCAUGACAAUCUUGAUUCAUACCUACUUCCGACGUAUGAUCGAUUGUGGAGGUUUGAACAAAUUAAUUAUUCUGGAAGUCAAAACAUGCAAAACUGAAACAAUAGUAAAUAAUUGACAAUGAUAGUAACACUUUACUCAUAAAUAAAUCACAAAUUUUAUUCAUCAUCAAACGUCGAUUACAUUUUACAAGUUUCAGGAAAACUAUCUAAUCUGUAAAACUAAUAUCGUCCCUCAGCCCGAUGCGUCUCGCAUGCUGAAAAUGCUUAACCCUCGUCAGUCCCUUCGUAAGGGGAUCUGCAGGAUUCUCAUCUGACGAUAUCCUCCUUGUCACAAGGAGUCCUUCUUCAAUCUUGUGCCUUAUGAAGUGAUAUUUUCUGUCAAUGUGUCGGGAUCUGCCAUGAUCUCUUGGUUCCUUGGCUAAGAUAACCGCAGCAUUGUUGUCACAGAAAAUCUCUAUAGGUUCCUUAAUAGCUGGUACAACUCCAAGGUCUCCGAUGAAGUUCUUUAGCCAUAUCGCCUCCUUCGCUGCUUCACUCGCUGCUAUAUACUCUGAUUCACAAGUCGAAUCAGCCACCGUCUCCUGCUUGGAACUCUUCCAAGAAAUUGCCCCUCCAUUUAAGGUAAAGAUCCAGCCCGACUGAGAGCGGAAAUUAUCCCUAUCAGUCUGAAAACCAGCAUCACUAUACCCUAAUAUUCUCAAGUCAUCACUGCCACCAAGGGUAAGGACCCAAUCCUUAGUCCUCCGCAGGUACUUGAGAAUGUUCUUUACCGCGGUCCAAUGAGCCUUGCCAGGGUUCCCCUGAUACCUGCUGACCAUGCUCAAAGCAAAUGCCACAUCAGGACGGGUACAAGUCAUAGCAUACAUGAUCGAGCCAACUGCGGAAGCAUAUGGUAAUUGGCUCAUCUCAGCUAUCUCAGCCUCUGUACUCGGACUCUGAGUCUUACUCAGUUUGGUAUUGCUUUGGAUCGGUAAAUCUCCUUUCUUGGAAUUCUCCAUGUUGAACCUUUUCAACACCUUAUCCAAGUAGAUACUCUGACUAAGUCCAAUUAGUCUUCUACUCCUUUCUCUUAAUAUCCUUAUCCCUAGGAUAUAGGUAGCCUCCCCUAGGUCCUUCAUAGCAAAGCACUUCCCAAGCCAGGACUUAACCUCCUGCAAGGUUGGGAUGUCAUUUCCUAUGAGUAGUAUGUCAUCCACAUACAGUACCAAGAAGCUAACUAUACUCCCACUAGCUCUGACAUACACGCAAGACUCAUCUUCGCUUCUCAAGAAGCCAAACUCUUUUACCUUCUCAUCAAAACAAAGAUUCCAGCUACGAGAUGCUUGUUUUAAUCCAUAAAUGGAUUUCUUAAGCUUGCAUACUCUAUUAGGGUACUCUGCAUUGACAAAACCCUCUGGCUGAUUCAUGUACACAUCCUCAGCCAACUUUCCAUUAAGGAAAGCGGUUUUGACAUCCAUUUGCCAUAUUUCAUAAUCAUGAAAUGCUGCAAUGGCUAACAUAACCCUAAUAGACUUAAUCUUGGCCACCGGCGAGAAGGUUUCAUCAUAAUCAAUACCUUGAGUUUGAGUAAAACCCUUCGCAACCAGUCGAGCCUUAUAAGUAUGCACUUUUCCUUCCAUGUCGGUCUUCUUUUUGAAGAUCCAUUUGCACCCGACUGUUUUACGGCCUGGUACAUUGUCAACCAAGUUCCAAACUUGAUUGUCAUACAUGGACUGUAUCUCGCUGUCCAUAGCCUCCUUCCAUUUAGCAGACUCCGGGCCUGCCAUGGCUUCCUUAACACUGCUAGGUUCAUCCAAAUUUACUAGUGUACUAUCACUAAUAAACGUAUCACCUUCCGUAGUAAUAUGAAAACCAUAAUAAAACGAAGGUGUGUUCCUAACCCGUGUGGAACGUCUCGGAGGUACAGACUCGUCAGCUGGAUCAACAGGAGUUUCUUCCUCAGGUUGAUUGCUAGUGUCUGAGGUUCCUUCACCAAUUGAUUCUUGAAUUUCUUCAAGAUCAAUCUGCCUCCCACUGUCUCCUUGGCUUAUAAAUUCUUUCUCGCGAAAGAUCCCUCUUCGUGCUACAAAGACCACAUUCUCACUGGGUCUGUAGAAAAGGUAACCGAAGGAUUUCUGUGGGUAGCCGAUGAAAAUACACCUUUCACUUCGGGGUUCAAGCUUAUCAUGAGUUUCACGCCUCACGAAGGCUUCGCAACCCCAAAUUUUGAUGUGGUCCAAAUUGGGAACCUUCCCAGUCCACAUUUCAUGAGGUGUUUUGGUAACCUUCUUUGUAGGGACUAGAUUAAGGAUAUGGGCGGCAGUCUCUAAGGCAUACCCCCAAAAAGAGAUUGGUAACGAAACUCGACUCAUCAUAGAGCGAACCAUGUCCAACAAGGUACGAUUACGCCUCUCAGCUACACCAUUCAGCUGUGGUGUCCUGGGAGGAGUCAAUUGUGAGACAAUCCCACACUCCUUAAGAUAGUCAAGGAACUCGGUACUAAGAUACUCACCACCUCGAUCGGAUCGAAGCAUCUUAAUGUUCCUGCCCAAUUGAUUUUCUACUUCCUGUUUGAAUUCCUUAAACCUUUCAAAGGUUUCGGACUUGUGUUUGAUCAAGUAGACAUACCCAUAUCUACUAUAAUCAUCAAUAAAAGUCACAUAAUACCGAUUAGCGUCCCUUGUGGCGGUUUUGAAUGGCCCACAUACAUCAGUAUGUAUUAGGUCCAACAAACCUUCACCCCUCUCACAAGUUCCAGUGAAGGGUGAUUUUGUCAUUUUUCCAAGUAGACAAGAUUCACAACUAUCAUCUGAUUUGAGGUCAAAUGAUUCCAAGACUCCACUCUUUUGGAGUUGGUCUAUGCGUUUCUUGUUUACAUGUCCAAGACGACAAUGCCACAAUGAUGCUUUAUCUAGGCUAGUAGAAGAAUCAAUAUACAACACAUUAUUUCCUAAGUUGUCUACAAUCGACACAGUUUCAUACACGCCAUCACAAGGUAAUGCUUUAAAAUAAAACACAUUAUUAAAGAAAGCAUUAAUACCACCACAUUCAUUAUCAAACGAAAAGGUAAAACCUUGUUUGUACAAAGCAUGAAAAGAAAUAAUAUUCCUCGCCAUUUCAGACGAGUAUACACAUUUAUUCAAAUCUAAUUUUAACCCAUUAUUAAGCAACAAAGUAUAAACUCCAAUCUUGGAAACAGGUGAAGCCUUCCUAUUCCCCAUGAUUAAGUUUAUCUUCCCGUGCUCCACAUCCUCACUUCUUCUUAGGCCCUGCAAAUCAGAACAUAUGUGAAUACCACAUCCUGUAUCAAGCACCCAAGAGUUAGAAUAUGUUGAGUAAUUAGACAAUAUAGUGUAAAUACCUGCAUAGGUGGGUUUCACUUUCCCAUCCUUUAGAUCCUGCAAGUACUUAGGGCAGUUUCGCUUCCAGUGUGCCUUUUCAUGGCAAUAAAAGCAUUCAGCAUCCUUUGGAAUGGCAGAAGGAGUGACAGAACCGUUCUUAGUCUUGGAUGAGGAGCCUUCAAGAGACUUUCCCUUGGUACCCUUCGAAGGGUGCUUCCUCUUUUUCCCUUUGCCUUGCCCAAUAGCUAAAACAGGGGUAGAAGUUGGAGUAGGAGUAGUAGAGGUAACAACCGCUUUACCCUUAAGACCGGUUUCAGCGGUCUUCAAGAGUCCUUGAAGCUUGCUGAGGGUAACUUCCUCCUUGUUCAUAUGAUAUGUCAUUCGAAAAUGAUCAUAACAAGAAGGCAAGGAGUGCAAAAUGAUGUCAAUUGCUAACUCCUCGGGGAUGUUAACAUUCAGCUUCAGCAAACGGUCCACAUACCUUUGCAUCUUUUGCAUGUGGCCCGUGACGGAUUCACCGUCCUUCAUGCGGGUAGUUAUUAUGGAGGAGAUUAUUUCAUACCGCUCCUGACGAGCACUCUGAUGGUACCUUUCCAUCAAGUCUUGGUGCAUCUCAAAAGGGUAGAAAUCUUCAUAUGACUUUUGGAGCUCGGCUGUCAUCGUGGCCAUCAUGAUACAUGCCACCUUAGUAGCAUCUCUCUCAUGAGUCCUGAAUUCAGCGAUCUCCUCAGGAGUAGCAGUAGACUCAUCAAGUUCUUUUAACUCCUUAUCGAGGACAUAUUCCUUGUCCUCGUAACGAGUAACCAUCCUGAUGUUCCUAAUCCAAUCCAUGAAGUUGGAACCAUCAAAGAUGACCCUCCCACAAAGAUUCAUGAGAGAGAAAGAACCAGUUGGGUUAGAGCCUGAAGCAUUAGUGUUGGAAGACAUCUGAAAGAAGAAAGUAAGUUUAGAUUAGAUAUUUAGGAUCCUUAAUAAGACACCCAAAUGUAAUAUUAAGGCUAGGAUCCAAUCACAAUAUAUUACACUUAGAAGAGGGAUGCCGUAAUCUAAGUAAUAAUAUAUUUGAAAGGUAGGCGAAUGACGAUUCACCAAUUUCCACCAUGAAAACGAAAUGAUUAAUUAGGUUUAAUUGGAUUUGAAAUUCCUAGAUUCUUUUGAGAUUCAUUGAACUUUUCAAUGGCAUGUUUCAAUCUCGAUUGUGCCCUUCAAGUUUUGUGACUGGGAUGCCGAGGAUCACAAAACAAGGUGUGAAUAACCAUGCUAACUCACUUGGUACUCCUAAUAUUAUCACCUAAUCAAUGUGCCGGUUAACCACACACGCUCCAUUGAUCUAUGACAACAUUAAGUUACCCUUCGUGAUCCUUACUAGUCUAAUUAGUGUGCCGGUUAACCACACACGCUCCACUAACGACUUGGUAAGGUACAAAGUGUGAAUUCCAUGGAUUAGCACCAUGUUCACAUUUUCCUAAAAUAACUAAGAUUGGGAAUUAAAAGAGUUUAGUUAUUUUAUAAUAUUCAUUAUACUUUUAAUGAGGAUUUAAAGUCGUUGUUCUACCCGUUCGGCUAACGACCCUCCACCGAUCAAGCAAGCGGUGGGUGAGAGUAUACACCCAUUAAGUCGCCAUUUUAUAGGCAACAACCUUAUACCCACCUUAUAGACCGGCUUCGUGAAUGAGGCCUACUAACGGUAAAACGACUUAUUCUUAUACAUAUAUAUAAUAAUUAACCAUUAAUGUUAUAAAUAGUAUAAGGGUUGAAUUUUAACUAUUAAAACUCUAAGGUUUGGAAUUAAAGUUUAUUAAAGUGUGUGAAACUUUACAAAUUCCAAAACUUGAGGACAAGUUUUGUAACUUUGCAAAACUCUUCAUUUCAUAACUUAUGAAUUAAAGGUUCAUAAAAAUGAAGACUCUUCAUUUUCAUGUAACUUAUGUGUUUUAAGUGUGUGUUAAAUGAAAGUGACCUUUGGUAAUCCAUAACUUGAGGACAAAUUAUGGACUCCAUUAAAACACAUAAAUGAUUAAGAAUUAAUUCUAAACAAUUCAGCAAAUAAUUCCUAUCAUUUUCUAAAUUCAUAAGAACAUGAACAUGAUCAUCAAAAAUUCAAGAAUUAUAUGAACACAUAAAAUCAUGGAUUUUUGAUAUAUGCUAUUGUAAAUGGAUUAGAACAACCAUUACACCAACUAAAAUAAGUUUUACAACACCAAAACAAUUUAGGGUAAUGUUUCCAGUCCAUUUCCAGCAGCAAAAGUCGAGAUUCUGCAUUCUUUCGAUCCUACUCGCCGAGUGCACGAACGGACUCGUCGAGUAGGUUGAAGUUUGCCUUGGACUCGGCGAGUCCCCCCAAUGGACUCGGCGAGUCUAGCAUGCAGACAGCAACGAUUUCGACUUUUUUCACUAUUUUGCAUCAAGUAUCAAACAAGCAAGCCUAGGCUCUGAUACCACUGUUGGGUUUUGAGCAAUCUAACACUUCCUAAGUGUGCAUGCAACCCUAAUAAACCUUGGAUCUAUGUUUGUCUAAAUACAUGCAAAAUAAUAAUUUUCCAAGGUUUAUAACCUAUCUAACAUGGCAUGGGGAACAUUUCAACAUAAAAGAGUUAGAAGAGAUUACAUACCUUUGUUGUGUUGGGUUCUUAGGAGUUUGAGGGCCAAGCACCAAUAGUGUGAAUGCCUCAAAUGGAAUCACAAACACCACAAACUCUUGGAAAACUUUGAGAGAGUAUACACACUCUUGUAUUUUCGGCCACACACAUGCACACACACACUAGAACACUAGCUUUCUCUUAGGCUAUCUUAGGCUCUCUUUCAUGCUCCAUAAGCAUGCUUAUAUAGUAUGCAUGGUUAGGGUGAAACCCUAAUAACCCAUGUCUUUUCCUAUUCCAAGGAUCCAUGGGUUAAAAGCUCCAUGGAUCAUCCAUGGACUUCCACAUAAGCCUAGCCCAUUAACAAAUGAGUAUUAGCCCACACUAUAUAAAACAAAUAGCCCAUAAUUUAAUUAGUAUUCCUUUUAAUCUCUAAAUUAAUCCAUAAUUAAUUUAAGACUAAAACUAAUUAAAUAACGUAACUUCAUAUUAAUAUAUUAUAACUCAUAAUAUAUUAAUAAACAUAUGUGUAUAACUCUCAUAAAAUUAUCCAUAAUAGUUUGGAUGAGAUGCAACCCAAAUGGACCAUGCCGGUCGGGUCAAGUAUAUACCAAAUAAGUUAUGGACUUAGACACCUUAUCCAACAGACUCCCACUUGGAUAAGUCUAAUAACUAUAUUUGCCUAUAACUUCANGACCUUAUGCCCAUUUCGAUAAGAAGUUUUGAUGUCAUCAUCGGUAUGGACUGGUUAAGUCUUCACCAUGCCGAUAUACUUUCUCACGAAAGGGCCGUUCACCUCAAUCUGCCAAAUGGCGGAACUCUUGUCAUCUAUGGUGACAAACCUAGUACGAAUUUACAAAUCAUCUCCUGUGUUAAAGCACGAAAAUAUCUUCGCAAGGAGUAUCAUGCCUUUCUAGCUCAUGUAGUAGACCAGAAACAAGAACCGAAGAACAUUAAAGACACUCCAGAAGUCUACAACUUCCCAGACAUUUUCCCAGAAGAUCUUCCAGGAAUCCCACCAGAACGUCAAGUCGAGUUUAGAAUCGACUUAAUCCCCGGAGCUACUCUAGUAGCAAAGUCGCCUUACCGUUUAGCCCCAGCGGAGAUGCAGGAACUGUCUAGUCAAUUGAACGAGCUACUGAGCAAGGGUUUCAUCAGACCGAGCUUCUCACCAUGGGGAGCACUGCUCCUAUUCGUGAAGAAGAAGGACGGAUCUUUUCGCAUGUGCAUCGAUUACCGGGAGCUGAACAAACUCACGAUCAAGAACCGAUAUCCCCAACCGCGCAUAGAUGAUCUGUUCGACCAACUACAAGGAGCGAGCUACUUCUCAAAGAUCGAUCUAAGAUCUGGUCAUCACCAACUGCGAGUGCUGGAAGGAGACAUCCCCAAAACGGCAUUUCGAACAAGCUAUGGUCACUACGAGUUUGUAGUGAUGCCCUUUGGAUUGACAAAUGCAUCAGCAGUGUUCAUGGACUUGAUGAACCGGGUAUGUCGUCCCUUCCUGGAUAAAUUUGUGAUCGUGUUCAUAGAUGAUAUACUCAUCUAUUCAAGAAGAAAGGAAGAACACGGCCAACACCUCUUCCAAGUCUUGGAAACAUUGAGGGAAGAAAAACUAUACGCAAAAUUUUCAAAGUGUGAAUUUUGGAUUCGGGAAGUAGAUUUCCUAGGUCACGUAGUAAGCAAAGAAGGGAUACACGUGGAUCCUUCUAAGAUCAAAGCAAUAGAGAAUUGGACGACUCCGAGAACCCCAACAGAAAUCCGGCAAUUUUUGGGACUCGCCGGGUAUUACCGAAGGUUUAUACAAAACUUUUCGAAGAUUGCUAAGCCACUUACCACCUUAACUCAGAAGAGUAUGACCUUCGACUGGGGAGAAAAACAAGACAUCACGUUUCAAACACUAAAGCGAGCCUUAUGUAGUGCGCCCAUUCUAACCUUACUAGAAGGAACGGAGGACUUCGUGGUCUAUUGUGAUGCGUCAAACCAAGGACUUGGGUGUGUUCUGAUGCAACGAGGGAAGGUCAUCGCCUACGCCUCAAGACAACUAAAGACGCACGAAGUAAACUACACAACGCAUCAUCUCGAGCUAGGAGCAGUGAUUUUCGCUCUAAAGAUAUGGAGGCACUAUCUCUACAGCACAAAAUGUACAAUCUUCACCAAUCAUAAAAGCCUCCGGCACAUCCUCAACCAGAAAGAACUUAACAUGAGACAAAGACGGUGGGUAGAACUACUAAAUGAUUACGAAUGCGAAAUUCGAUAUCAUCCCAGAAAGGCUAACGUCGUGGCCGAUGCACUCAGCCGGAAGGAAUACUCGGGCCGUAGAGUGAAGUCUCUAACCAUGACAAUCCAUUUACACCUGUCCACGCAAAUCAAGGAAGCCCAAAUAGAAUCCUUAAAAUCCAAAAAUGUAGCAGGGGAAGCCUUAAGGGGAAUGGAUAAGAAGCUUGAAGUCAAGAAUGAUGGAGUUCGUUACUUCAUGGAUCGGAUCUGGACACCGAAGUUUGGCGGAUUCAGAGAAGUCAUCAUGAACGAAGCCUAUAAUACACGAUACUCCAUACAUCCUGGCUCCGAUAAGAUGUAUCUCAACCUCAAGAAACUGUACUGGUGGCCGAACAUGAAAGCCGAAAUUGCUACCUAUGUGAGCAAAUGUCUGACGUGCGCCAAAGUCAAGGUAGAACACCAAAAGCCCUCAGGAUUGCUGCAACAACCAGAAAUACCCGAAUGGAAGUGGGAACGGAUAACCAUGGAUUUCAUAACCAAAUUACCCAAGACGACAAGCAGACUCGACACCAUCUGGGUGAUCGUUGAUAGGUUAACUAAAUCAGCGCACUUCCUGCCAAUCAAAGAAAUGGAUAAAUUGGAGAAACUAACUAGAACAUACCUCAGAGAGAUCGUACGAUUGCAUGGUGUGACCAUAUCCAUUAUCUCGGACCGAGAUAGUAGAUUCACCUCAAGAUUCUGGCAGUUGCUACAAAAAUCUCUAGGAACAUGACUAGACAUGAGUGUUGCUUAUCACCCACAAACUGACGGCCAGAGUGAGAGAACCAUACAAACCCUAAAGGAUAUGUUGAGAUCUUGCGUAAUCGAUUUUGGCAAAGCAUGGGACACCCAUCUACCCUUGGUCGAGUUCUCGUACAACAAUAGCUACCACACUAGUAUCAAGGCUGCCCCGUUCGAAGCCCUCUACGGCCGAAAUGCAGAUCACCUCUACGCUGGGCUGAAGUGGGGGACACACAACUAGCAAAAGGGCAAGCAACAGACAACACGCUCACCGGGCCAGAAAUCAUAAGAGAUACUACGGAGAAGAUUGUUUAAAUCUGGGAACGACUGAAAGCAUCAAGGGACAGACAAAAGAGUUACGCGGAUAAAAGACGGAAACCCUUGGAAUUCCAGGUUGGAGACCGUGUCCUACUAAAAGUCUCGCCCUAGAAAGGAUUAAUACGCUUCAGAAAGCAUGGGAAACUGAACCCAAGAUACAUUGGACCAUUCGAGAUCCUUGCUAGGAUCGGUCCGAUGGCUUACAAACUUCGAUUACCUCAGGAACUCCACAACGUACACCCUACCUUUCACGUAUCAAACCUAAAGAAGUGCUUGUCCGAUCAGACCCUUGUCAUCCCUCUAGACGAAAUUACAAUAAAUGAGAAUCUCCAAUUCAUAGAAGAACCAGUAGAGAUCAUGGAUCGGUAAAUAAAAAGGACUAAACAAAGCCGCAUACCUAUUGUAAAGGUCCGCUGGAACGUCAAGCGAGGACCUGAAUACACCUGGGAACGCGUGGAUCAGAUGAAACAAAAGUACCCGUAUCUCUUCCGUAACCCGUAAACGCAGUCUUAGAUUAAAUUUCCGGAUGAAAUUCCCCUAACGGGGGAUGAUGUGACAACCCUAUAUUUUUCCAAAAGCAAUAUAACACUCAAAAGUCAAAUACAACGAAAACUAUUUGGAAUCAACGAAAUUAACCUCAAAAAUAAAGUGUUCAAAUAUCUAAAUUGGGAUGCAUCAAAUGUUAGAUAUCGUGCCAAGGUUUCCAAAAACAUAAAGAACAUUCGAAACCGGGUUAUAUUGAAGAAAGUAUAACCACUCAAAUAUUUACGACACACCUAGUAAAACACUAUUUAACGUAAAAAGGUGAAAUAACAAUAAAAUGCAUUUUAGCCUUAAGUAUCUAAACAAAAGUUGCAGAGUUCGUUAAACUGUAAACGUACAUAAAAAGAUCGCCCAAAUUGGACCUCGUAUGAAGAAGUUACGAAUUUUUUAAGUCUCAUAACAGUAGUAGAGGGCUAAAAACUCGAAUUGAAGAUCGAGCGAUCUUUAGCUAACGCAACCUAAACGAAAGUUGAAGGUCUCCACAAUAGGAGUAAGAUGAUAAAAAGACAAACGAAAACCGACGUCGAAUAAAGAAACUAUGAAUUUUUAACGGACUUUAGCAGUCCCAGCCUAUUAAAAACAUAGCAUUAAAAAUAAAUUCUAAACUAGCCAACGUAGUCUAAAUGAAAGUUGUAGAGCAUAAACUCGCCUACGCGUGGAUAUAAAGAAUGCGAGAAACGAAGCCCGCACGCAAAAGUUACGGAAUUUAGAAGAUGGAAGCUAGGAUUACGCCCAGCGUACUCAGGUGCAGGGUCGAGUCCCAUCGGCUGUAGCUCUACGCCUAGCUAGCCUCGAGUCGUAAGCCAUGACGCAAAGUUACGCCCAGUGUAACCGAAGUACGCCCAGCGUAACGCGUACGCCCAGCGUACUCCGGUGGUACGCCCAGCGUAGUCGCACCUUCAGCCCUAUAAAUAGAAGGCAUAAGCCCCAGAUUUUAGCACACAUUUCCCACACAUUCACUUACUCUCACACACUUUCAAACACCAGAGGCCGUCCCGACACCCUCGAUUUCCGCACCCGAGCCCCCGACGAAGGUUCUACGCUACCGAGAUCCCCGAGAAGCUCGAAGAUGCAGCUUUCCGCGGUUGAAGUUCUGCUCGACUCUAGUCCCACUCUCUUCAAACCAAACAAGUGAGUUCAUACCCCUACUUUACAAGUCUUUUCAUGUUUUAGGGGGGAUACAAGUAUAAUACAAGAAAACGUAUCGUUUUAUAUAAACUUAAAUGCAACAACUAUCUUUACGUAUAAAGUUAGUAUAUCACCAAGUUAUUUUCCCCAAAUGGAACAUACUUUCUGAAAAACUAUAAUGGGUAUAGUUUGCGAGUUAUUCAUACAUUCUUACGUAUACAUCAUGAAAAACGAAAUACUUUCAUCUAAAGUGAAACAAAGACCUUAUCGUAAAUCUAUUUAUACUAAGUAAUGUGAGAUAUUCAAACUUCAACGUACUCUUAUGUAUGCAUUUCCAGUCCUGUAUUAUAAGCCAUAAUCUCUUGAAGGGAGAGCGUGAUUCUUGUGUAUAGAUCUAUACGGGAUUGACAACCCCGCACCUAAACUGUUAGAUACAGUUAGACCGACAGGUCUGGGGUGACGAAUGUCAUAACACUACAACACCUGAAGAAUGUUGUUACAGGCAUUCUAUGUCAAUAGUAUGGUUAUAAGACUCAUACGAAAGUAUAAAAACAAGCUUGAUUUACGAGAUUUAUACAUGCAUUCAGUAUUUACAUUAUUUUGAGUACAAACUUAUCUUUAUCAUUCAAUUACGAAAGAUACUAACGCCCUCCAACUUUGGGAACUUUUCAAACUAUAUAUGGAAAAUAUUGGAUUUUCUAAAAAUCACGUUCAUCGAUUUUCUACCAAAAAGACAUACUUUUCAAUACAAAACACUUAUGAACUCACCAACUUUAUUGUUGACACUUUUUCGAAACCACUUGUAUUUCUCAGGGAAUCGGUAAUACAGGUAACUACUAGCUUUUGAAGAAGGAACGCUAAGGACGUUUAUUAUUAAACAUUUUACAUCAUCAUAUUGUAAUAUUCUUUUGGAAACAUGUAUAACGCAACAAUGUACGUUUUUAUUAUAUAUAUAUGAUGGUUGUGUUACUUUCUUUACAAUAUUCAAUUGUUAUGGUACCACGUGAAGUCAUCCACCCCUGAAUGUUUCCGCCAUUCUGGUUUGGGGGUGUGACAGCGUACUUCGGCUACGCUGGGCGUAAGUAUGUGUCAUGGCUUACGACUCGGGUCUACCUAAGCGUAGAGCCUGCUAGCCGAUGCGACUCGACACUGCGACUGAGUACGCUGGGCGUACUCUUGAAUUACGUUGGGUGUGAUUUAGGCUUCAAUUUUCUAAACUCCGUAACUUUUGCGUAUGGGCUCCAUUUUUCGCGUUCUUUAUAUCCACGCGUAGGUGAGACUAUGCUCUACAACUUUCAUUUAGACUCCGUCGGCUAGUUUUGACUUUAUAUUUAAUAUUAUGUUUUUAGUAGGUCGGGACUGCUAAAGUCCGUUAAAAAUUCAUAACUUCUUUAUCCGAUGUCUGAUUUCGUCUGUCUUUUCACCAUCUUACUCCUGUUGUGGAGACCUUCAAUUCUCGUUUAGGUUACGUUAGCUAAAAACUAUUUGAUCUUUAAUUCGAGUUUUUAGCUCUCUACUACUGUUACGAAACUUAGAAAAUUCGUAACUUCUUCAUACGAGGUCCAAUUUGGGAAAUAUUUUUAUGCACGUUCACGGUUUAAUGUAAUCUACGACUUUUGUUUAGAUACCUAAGGCUAAAAUGCAUUUUAUUGGAAUAUCACUUUUUAUGUUUAAUAAUGUUUUACCGGGUGUGUCGUGAAUAUUUGAGUGGUCAUAAUCUUUUCAUUAUAACUUGGUUUUGAACGUUCGUUAUGUUUUUGGAAACCUUGGCACGAUAUCUAACAUUUGAUGCAUCCCAAAUUUAGAUUUUUGAAUACUUUAUUUUUGAGGUUAAUUCCGUUGAUUCCAAAUAGUUCGUUGUAUUUGACUUUUGAGUGUUACAUUGGUUUGGAAAAAUACAGGGUUGUCACAUCCUCUGUGACCUUCUUAAACUCCAAGCCUUCUUCUAACAAUUGCUUCAAAACACUCUUUCCCUCCUUCACACACUCAAAAUGGGGGUUUGGAUCUAUUAGGGCUGCUUCUAGACAUCAAGGGUUGAGGUAAGGACUUAAGGUCCUUUAAAUAGGGUGCAAACCCUAAAAUUAGGGUUUUCUCUUCCCAACACCAACUUGUCGAGUCCAGUCGCCGACUCGGCGAGUUGGUCACUUAACACGUGGCCAACACCCGCUCCGACUCGACGAGUAGGCAUACCUACUUGCCGAGUAGACUCCUUAAUUUACAUAUAAGCCCCUAAAAUAUACUUCUGAAGUUUGGGAUAUUACAUUUACCCCCAAUAUGAUUACAUAACUACCCGGGUUUAACCACGAUGUUCAACUCCCCUAAAGACUUUUAUUGUUUCUUAUUGUGACAAUACACUACUAUACACACAUAGGUUUGUAUUUUAUUUUUCUUAAGAGUAUUUUAGUCCCAAUGUAUUUAUAGUUGCAUAUCUUGUAUUAUUCGAUAUGCCGGUUCACUAUAAACAUUCUUGUGAUACCAAUCUGUCACACCCCCGAACCAGACGGUAGAAACGUCCAUGGGCGGGUGACUUCAUCAAUUAAUAUCAUCACAAUAUAUAUAAAUGAAUCAAAGACAACAUCAUCACCAUACAUACAAUAUAUCAACCAUCAUAGUUUUACAUCAUUGUAUUUGUUUAUAAUAUUACAUCCAAAACAUCUUGUAUGGUGAGAAACAAAAAUACGGCAUAAAUCUUCACUCCUUAUCGACCCACCUGUUUUAACGUGUUCCUGAGAAUACAUGUCAUUUUGAAAAGUAUCAACAUAUAAAAUGGUGGUGAGUUCAUAAGUAUGUUUGUAUAAAUAGUUUUGUAUUAGUUUGUAAACACCAGAAAAUCCGAUAUUUUCUGUAAAAGUAACUUGAGAGUUUUUUUUUUCAAAUCUUGUAUUAUAGUGUGUGAUUUUGUCUAAUAAUGUAUAAAAAGCGUUUUUCAAAAAAUCCUAUAUUUUCUGUCUAAUGAAAAAGUGUGGUCUUAACCCUAAGACCAGAGUGGUGAAAGUUUUAAACAUGAAUAAUAAAUGUAUAGUUCGUACUUUGUAUCAUGAGUAUAGUAUGUGCAUUCCGUAAAUUUAUUUGUUUGUUAUUCUCUAUGUGAGUCGCUAUAACCAUACUUGAUAUAACUGAUAUGCCUGUCAUGACGUUCUUCAGGCGUCGUUUCCGAUAAGACAUUUGUCACCCUAGACUGACCUAUCUAGUUGUAGCGAGCAGCUCAGGUGUAGGGUGUCAUCCCCAUAUAGAUCUAUACACAAAUUCUCGAUAUCCCUCUAGGAGACUCUAGUUAUAACUAUAAGGAUUACGAUGUGUGCUAGGUAGGUACAAAUGAAGGAGUGUCUCACAAGAGCCUUAAAUAAUCUACGUGAAUAGUGUAUCUCAUUGCUUAACACUAAAAAAAUGUUUCAAGUAUGUAUAUUUUUUUACAAAUCGUCGGUGAUAAGAAUAUAGUUGUUCAUGUCAAAAUGUCAAAUAUUUAUUGAUAUCGACCCAAUUUUUAUAGAAAGCGUCGUAUAUGCCCAAUAAGAUAACAAAUGGGCAUUUAAGGCCCAAUUAGGAUAGAAUUGCCAAACAUGGCCCAAUAUGCAUGUAAUUGGGUAUGUAAGGCCCAACAUGCGUGUAAAAAUGUCGUAAAUAGUCCGUUUGUUAUCAAAAUGAUCAUUUUAGCUCAAAUAGUAUCAAAUGCCAUAUAAGGCCCAAUUUUGUUAAAAAUGACAUUUUUGGCCCAUUAAAGCCGAAAAUUUACAAUAAAGGCCCAUUUUCAUGAAAAAUGACUUUUUUGGCCCAAUAAAAGUAUGUUUUGUCAAUAAAGCCCAAUUUUAUGAAAAAUGACCAUUUUUAGCCAAUGAAACCAUGAAUUUGCAAAUAAGGCCCAUUUUUAUGAAAAAUGACCAUUAGCCCAUGAAACCGUGAAUUUCCUAAUAAGGCCCAUUUUGGUGAAAAAUGGAUCAUUUUGGUCCAUUAAAACUGAGAAGGCCCAAAAAAGAAGCCCAUUUUGUCAAAAAUGACACUUUUGACCCCCAUAAAACCGUGAAUGUCAUAGAAACCCAUUUUAUAAAAAAAAUGUCCCUUUUAGCCCCUUUAAGGCCGUGAGUAUCAUAAAGGACUCACUUUUGCUCAUUUGUCAAAUAUGGACCCUCUUUAGGUUUUCUUUAGUUUUUUAGUAGCUUUUAACAUGUUUUCUCUUUUCAAACAUCACAAUGAGAUGCAUUAAGUAAUUUAUUUCCUUAUCACUUCAUAACUUGGAAGUUUGUUCGAGUUUCAUAAAAGUUUAACAUGGUUUCAUAACUUAUUCACACACCUAUCAUGAAAAUACACACAAGCAUGCCUAAAUACCAAGAUUAAACACAAAACUAGCUUGUAUUCUCCCCCAAAAGAUAGUAAUCACGAAAAAAGGAGGGGUAUGAAGCUCACCUUGGUGUUAGUUGGCUUUUAAAGGGAAGAAUAAGAUUUUUGGUCUUGAAUGCUCCUUUGAGGGGAUUUUUCAAAACUAAGAGAGUUCUAGGAUCAUAAACACGAAAAUAGUGUGAUUUUGAGGAAAAAUCUUAGUAUAAGAUGAAGUUUAACAUCUUGAAUGUGAAGUAACUUACCAAGUUUGCAAGCUUGAAGACCUCCUUGAGCUAACACACACACACACGGUUUUAGAGGAGGAAAAGAAGAGAGAGUUUUCCUUUAAGAGUGAAGAAGAAAUUAAGGGUGGUGAUGAUGUUCUUUGGCCGAGAGUUUAAGGAGGAAAGAGAGAAGAUAGGUUAAGGUCCUUGCUUAAUGAUUAGUUACUUAUUGGUCUAGAUAUUUGAUGGACAUAUUGCAUGGAUAUCCUCCAUGAAAAAAUUAGGUGUCACCAUUAGAUUUAAUACAACCUUUUUUUAACAUAUAUAGGACUGAGAACCCCUAAGCCCAAAGAGGUUUUCGGUGUUAAAGGCCCAUAAUAUUUAUGUCUCGGCCUAUUAGAUGAUCUAUGGAGGGUAUUGGCCUAAUAAUGCCCAUUAAGAGUGUCUUGCCCUUAAAAAAUGCUAAAUGGAGUGUUGGGCCCAUUAUGCCCCCAAGAGAGGUGUUCACGACCGUAUAAGGUCCAAUAAGGGUCGUAUGGAUCAAACAUUAUUGUUUAAUGAAUUUCGGCCCAAUUAAGGCCCAAAUAAAGAUUCUUUUCCCAAAAGAACCAAGUUGAGAGGUUACUAGCAGAAAGUUGAGUGAAUGUAUCGUAUUGAAUUAGGUUUACAGCUUUCACGAGGAAGCUUUGACUUGAAUUGUCGUUUGUAAAUGAAUAACUUGGAUAACAUCAUCCUUAGGGUUACAAGAUACAUCAGAAGUUAAUUACACAUAGAUAGAAUUUCCUAGCCCUAAAAUGCUAGUUGUGACAAAUUUCGAAGUUGGGUAAUUUCUACCAAGUCUUCAAAACAGCAAGGACAUAUUAGAAACUUCAUCCUUUUUCACAAACUUUCUACACCAAUGUCAAAUCUGGGUAUGAAUUGCCAUUUCUUAGAAACUUCAGGGCUGAGAUUCGAAAAUAAUUCUUUUCUUCUUCACUUCAAUUCACAGAUAACGAAUGGUGAAUUGGACCAAGAAAAGUCAAAAUUGAACACACAUCUCUAAACCUUUGCUAAUCGACAUCAUUAAGUGCUUGUUUUUCAACCCUUCGCUUUUCACUUAUCCCUUUGUUAAUGAACAGGGUUUGGUCAUCAAUAACAAAGCAUAUCAUGUUCCUCGAUAACGAACCACCGACCAUUGACCUCUCGUUAAUGAACUACCUAUACAACCUGUUCGUUAUCACAAAAGUGAAGUCUUCAAAAUCAAAUUUGUUAUAACCUUCGUCUUCGUUUUUCAUCUAUAAUACCUCGUCAAUGAACCAAUCGACUACAAAAUCGAAUUUCCAUCCAUCGAUAUCCUUCUGUCUUCCCUUUUAUAAGUGAGAGACCCUCGACCUAUAACUAUUCGACUGGUUACCCAUCGUCCUUCGCGUUCAUUACAGGGACCUUGUAAACGAACCAUGGAUGAUUCUUGAAAACGAAGUGUGAAUCCCCUGCCUUCAUUUUACAUGCCUUCAACCAUCAAUAUCAAUCCUAAAGUCCAACUUAUAUCUAUAGACAUUGAGUAAAACACAUUCGACCACCAUCCUUCGUCCUUCCCUUUUCAUGCAACCCAAAACAUCAAAACAUCAAUUCUUUUUGUCUUCCCAUCGACAUCGAUACUCAACAUACAAAUUUCAAUUCUCAAAUUCAAGUCAACUUUGACUUUCUUAUGUUGAAUUUGCUUUUAACCAUCUUCAUUCUACAGGCAACAACCCUUCGAUUGUACAACUCAAAACAUCAAACCAUUGACGCCAAACCAAAUUCGACCCUUCGAAAUUGAUUUUUUAAUCAUCAACAUCAAAAUCAAUUAGCCUUCCCCCUUCAAAAUCAACAUUCAAUUCUUCGUUAUUAGCUUACCAACAUUCGAUAUCAUCGUCCAAAGUUAUCAAUCGACAUAAAAUCUAAGCUGGAAUCAACCCUUCGUAAUUAGAUUAAGACUUUCUAACCAUUUGAAAUCGGCUCCUAAGCUUGAUUCCAAGUCUUCGAACUCAAUAAAUAGUCAUCAACAUUAAACCCAAAAUCCAACAGGUGACAAUUUAUAUCGAUCCAAAAACAAAUAACCCUCAAAAUCGAUAUUGUAACGCCCGCAGAUUCUGGCUAGUCAAUUUAGAGACAAUAAGCGUCAAAAAAUGAGUUUUUGAUCGAAUAUUAUUUAGAAUUAAUAAUAUUAACAAAUUUAUAGUAUAUGUCAAAAAGGUUUCGUAGAGAUAAGGAACGUAGGAAUCCGAGUUAUAACGAAGAAGUUAUGACCCGUCGAAGUUUUACGGCUAAACCGGCACGACACCGCGUAACGUAAAAUAUGAAUUUUUGAUAAAUUAAUUUUUAGCAUUAGAGAUCUAAAUAAUGGUUGUAUUAUAUGUUAAACUAACAGCGUGCAUAAAAAGAACGUCAGAAUCUAACUGCAUAUAAGGAAGUUAUGAUUUUUCUAAGAUUUAGUAUAGCAGUGAACAACCCGGAAUUUGAAUAUUAGAUCGAUCGAUUUUUAGCCAAAAAAACCUAAAUGAGAAUUGAGGAUCUAAUUAAUAGGAGUACACCGAUAAAAAUACAGUCAAAAACAGAGUCCGUAUGUAAAAAUUAUGAAUUUUACACGGUCGUUAACAGUUUAAUCUUCUCAUAUUGUUAAAUUUAAAAUCGAUCAUGAAUUAGCCGAUGGAGUCAAAAGUAAAGUUGUAGAUCUUGUUAAUACCUAUGCGUGGAUAAAAAGAACGUCAAAAAUGGAUCUCAUAUGUGAAAGUUACGGAAUUUAGAAUUCAUAAAGGUGGUGUUGCGAAGGAGGUGACAUGACGCGAUCUGAGCCAUUGCUUUCUCCCCAACCCUUGCCACCAGAUGGUGACAUGUAGCAUCCAACUCGAUGUGUUGGAGGCCCUAACUCGAUGAGUUGAUUUGUAUUUCAGCCUAUAAAUAGCAUGCGAAGGUCUCCAUAAUUUUCACACAAAAACCUACUUCUCUCUCUCUCUCUCUCUCUCUCUCUAACUUCUCUCUAAGCCUCCGAAAACCCUCCCCAAGCCCUAGUAACUUCUAAGUGCUAGAGGAAAGCCCGGAGCACCCGAAGGCUCAAAGAAAAAGAGCUUUCCAACUCAAAAGUUUUGCCGCUGUAGAGCCCGACUCCUAGAGAAACCCCCUUGUAAGUGAGUUAUGCUUACCCUAAUUUAAGUAUAACUUAUGUUUAAGUUCAUUAUUGUUAUUACGAACCUAUAAACAAGAUUUAUCAGUAAUUCAAAGUCAUUAUAUUGAUUGAACUACUUAUGGGAGAGAUGUCUAGAAUGGUCACGUUGGGUUUGGUUGUUGUAUUUCAGAAAAGCUAAACGCCGAAAUGGCCCUGCCUCCCAACUGUCCUGCCUGGCUGAUCCUUACAUGAUAGAUCAUGACGUAGACUCUGAGUUAAUGAUGAAUCUAGAAUAAUAAUAGUCGCAAUAAAUAUUAAACUAAAUUCUAGUAAUAAUGAUACUAGGUUUCGAUGAAGGAAAAAAAAUUGUUAGAAGUGAAGCACUGUCCGAGUUUGGAAUCAUCUUUUUAACAAGUGAGUGCAUAGUUAUGUGUUAUGUGUGCAUAUUAUCUGAAGUAUUUAAUAUAAAUUACGUGUUUUAUUCGAGUUUGGAAUCAUCAUUUCAUCUUACACAUAUAUAUGAAGCAUUUAAUAUAAAUUACGUGCUAUGUGUGCAUAUUAUAUGUGUUCUUGAUAUGAAGUAUUUAAUAUAAAUUACGUGCUAUGAGUUUGGAUUUGUCACUAACCUUGUCUUGCGAUUAUGCUUUUGAAAAAUUCACAUUGAUAGGAACACAUACACCAUAAAAUCUAAGUGUCAAAAGGUUUUUCUCCGAUUCAUGAAAAUGAUGGUGAGGAAGUGUUUUCACUAAGUGAUUUUAGGUAGAUAGCAAUUGUGAUAUUUGCAUUCUCAAAGUCGUUAGUGGAGCGUGUGUGGUUAACCGGAACACUAACAUGGACUUGUGAGGAAUGGAAAAGGUCUAAACAAUUGAGACUAUGAUUAUGACAUCCCUUUUCAUAGUUUUGAAAUUGUUUAGACACACAUGUGUGCUAUCUAUGGAAAGGUGUAUGAUUUUGAUAAAGUUUUUAUCAAAGCAUCUCCUAUCAGAAGUCUGAACUUUGGUAAGAAAGUCAAUAAAGUAUUGAUUUCUAGAAGUCCAACUGAUUGCUGAGUACAUGUCAAAGCUAGUGGGAGCAUAAGUGUUAUGCUGAUAAUUCUCAUAUUAGUGGGAGCAUGAUAAUUAUGAUAAGUGUUGCAAAUUAGCAAUGUUAGUUAUAGAAAAUAAAAAGUUUCAAUUUGGAAAAGUUGUUUUGCUAUAAUUAAGGGAGAGGAAAUUGUACUUCAUUUCAAUUCUAAGAGCUUAGAUUGAGGUUUUAAUCAUCUUUAGUCAAGGAUAUAUAUCUAUAUAUNNNNNNNNNNNNNNNNNNNNNNNNNNNNNNNNNNNNNNNNNNNNNNNNNNNNNNNNNNNAGGGAGAGGAAAUUAUACUUCAUUUCAAUUCUAAAGCUUAGAUUGAGAUUUUAAUCAUCUUUAGUCAAGAAUAUAUAUAUAUGAAUUUUAUGUUGGAAUAGCUCAACAUAAGGAAAUUCUAUAUAUGGGUCCAUUAUUUGCAUUCUAAAAUUCGAUUAUGAUUACGGCAUCCCUUUUCAUAAUCUGAAUUAUAGGAACUUGGCAAAUAGAUAUAGAAAUAUUAUAGCAAAAAGACUGGUCUAUUAUCAUGUCUUUAUGUGAGACAUCAUGAAUCGUGUCCCAUAUGUUUCGGAUAUAGGAUCGAUUGCAUGUGCUAUAAUAUUUAUCCUUUCUAAAUUUUUUCCAAAAUGCCUAGUGGCAUUAAGAGGGGAAAAAAGGUCUAGAAUUGGCUAUAACUAAAAUGAUUAAGCAAUUGUCGAGGACAAUUUAAGGUUUACCAAAGAUUGGUUGCUUAAGGACAGUUAGAAGUAUGGUGUUAAUUUUGGAAGGACCAUAUUGACAUACUCUGAAAGGAGGCAACUUUUGUUCAGAAGUGAUAGUCAAAAUGGGAAUAUGGAAAUGACUCCAUAGGUGGAAGUUAUUCAGUCUGUGUAAGAUUAAAAAACUUAAUGCAAGAAGGAUGUUCAAAGCAAUGUACUUUGAAUAUGAGACUUCGUUUCCAUGGAGUUUAUCUCCAUUGGUAUACUCUGUAAUGUCUGUUGACAAGUCUUUGUGACUUUGUGCAUAAUCAUUACAGAGGAUUAGUGCAUAUAAGUUUAAAAUCUAACAAAUUUCAGUAAAUGGCAAGAAUUUGGAAUUAUUGUAUUUGCAGUAAGGAUUUGGGAUUGUGAAAUGAGAAUCAUUGGAAUUAUGUUCAAUCGAUUUAUUUCACAAAGUAAAGAUCAUAGACAAACUUAGUGUGCAUACUUGGUGUAUGGCAUAACUAAUGUUUCGAAAAACAUAGUGUGCAUACUUGGUGUAUGGCAUGACUAGUGUUUAGAAAACGUAGUGUAUAUGCUUGGAGCAUGGGACAACUAUUGUUUUAAUUCAAGUUUAAAGUUGAUAAUUUGAAACAGUAUUCAAUGAAUAAUGUGUAAUCAAUAUGGUGAUAAAUAAAAGGUGUUUUAUUUAUAUUCAUAAGUUCUGAGACCAUAUUGGAUUCGAUUAUUCUUGUGUUUCACUUUGCAUUUUUUGACUUCCAGAAUAAUUAUGUUAUGGUAUUUCAUAUUAUUCAAAUUCUCCAUAGUCGGUCAUAUGUUGGAAGUAGAUAUGAAUCAAGACUGUCAUGAGUUAGCUUGUAGAUGUCUAAGAUGUUGGACAUAGCAAGAGUUGCUACAACACUCAUGGGUGCUCAUAAGUUCUGAGUAUUGGAUUCAACCCACGCUCACUUGUAUCAAUUCAUGGAAUUUAUCUCGAGUGAUCGUGAGAAAGUAAUAUCAUAUAAGUCUUCAAACCUAGAGAUAUGAGUUAUUGCCUAUGAGUUGGUUAUACAUUGAUUGUACAAAAAAACUCAUUGGCAACUCGAUGUUAUAAAACGUGCCUUUGUGUAUGAUUUAACAAGUAGUAGAACAAGCAUAUGAGUCGAAGUUUAUAUGUUCCUUCUUGGUUUAGAAGCGAUAUCUAGGCCCCUCGAUGAUUUUGUUGUGACCUAUGUACCGGGCCCGGUCAGAACUAAAUUGAUGUGUUCAAUUAAGUCCUAUGUCAAACAAAUCGGAAAUCGAGAAACAAACUGCUGGACAAUAAGUAAGACACUGUUCCAUGUAUUUUUCUGGCUGAUAUCUAGAACAGAGGAUUAUAUGAUUCCUUGUCUAAAAUGUGCUUCAUAGUUCAACAGAGUUUUAAGAGCUACGAUUGUCGGUCGGUUCCUGAAUUCAUAAUUGAAACUAUAGUUAUUAGACUUAUCCAAGUGGGAGACUGUUGGCUAAGGUGUCUAAGUCCAUAACUAUAUUUGAGAUGUACUUCACCCGACCCGACAUGGUCCAUUUGGGUUGCCCUUCACCCGAACAAUUUAUAUGGAUAAUCUUUUGAGAAUAGUAUAAGUUAUGAUUUAUUAAUAUAUUAUAAGUUCUAAUAUAUUAAUAUGAAAUCAUAUUAUUUAAUUAGUAUUGAUCUAUAAUUAAUCUAGGAUUAAUUUAGAGAUCAAAAGUAUUACUAAUUAAAUAUGGGCUCUUAUAUUUAUAUAGUGUGGGCUAAUGCUUAUUUGGAAUGGGCUAGGCUUGCAUGGAAAGUCCAUGGAUACUCCAUGGAGCUUUAACCCAUGGAUCUCAUGGAAAUGAAGAGACAUGGGUAUUAGGGUUUACAUGGAUGUAACCCUAAUCCACCACACUAUAUAAAGGAAUCCUUGGCACUUGAAAUUGCACUAGUUUUUCUGUGCGAACUAAGGGUGGUGAUUUCUAGAAGUGUUCUACCAUUCUCUCAAGUUUCCAAGGGUUGUGGUGAUUUGUAACUUCCAUUUGAGGCAUCCACAUUAUUAGUGCUAAGCUCUCAAACUCCAAGCAAUCAACCACUACUAAAAGGUAUGUAACUCUACUAGCUUAUUAAGUUUCAAAGUUCCCCAUGCCAUGCUAGUUAGGUUAAGAACCUUGGAAAANAUUUGCAUGCUCUUAGUAAAACAUAGAUCCAAGGUUUCUAGGGUUACAUGUACACCAUAGGAGUGUUAGAAUGCUCAAAACCCUUCAGUUUAAACAAGAAGUGGGGAUCAAUUGGGCAGGAAGAUAAAGACGUUGUGAUCCGAUCGAGUAGGAGAGUAUCUUAAUAUCGAGUUCCAUGACUAUCUUAAGGAAUGUGGAAUUGUUUCACAAUUGAAGCCACCAAGGAAACCAUAGCUUAAUGGUGUGGCUGAGAGGUGUAAUAGAACCUUGCUUGACAUGUUUCGUUCCAUGAUGAGUCGAGCUUCAUUACCUAUCUCAUUUUGGGCUAUGCCUUAGAGACUGCCGCCCAUAUCCUUAAUCUAAUCCCUACCAAAAAGGUUUCCAAAACACCUCACAAGAUGUGGAUAGGGAAGGUUCCCUUGUUAGACCACAUCAAAGUUUGGGGUUGCGAGGCUUUCGUGAGACGCGAGACUCACGACACACUCGAACCUCAGAGUGAGCGAUGUGUUUUCAUCGGCUACCCACAAAAGUCCGUUGGAUAUCUCUUUUAUAGACCGAGUGACAAUGUUGUCUUCAUCGCAAGGAGAGAAGUCUUUUGUGAGUGAGAACUCAUAUGCCAAUGGGACAGUGGGAGGCAAAUUGACCUUGAAGAGCUUCAAGAGUCAAGCGGUGAAGGAACCUCAAACACUAACAAUCAACCUGAGGAGGAAACUACGGUUGAGCCAAUUGACGAAUUCGUAUGACAAUCAAGUUUGGAACUUGGUUGACAAUGUACCAGGCCGUAAGACAGUCGAGUGCAAAUGGAUCUUCAAGAAGAUGACUGACAUGGAUAGGAAAGUACACACAUAUAAAGCACGACUGGUUGCGAAGGGCUUUACUCAAACUCCGGGAGUUGACUAUGAUGAGACCUUCUCACCAGUAGCGAAGAUUAAAUAUAUAAGGGUUAUGUUGGACAUAGCUGCAUUUCAUGAUUAUGAAAUAUGUCAAAUGGAUGUCAAAACCACUUUCCUUAAUGGAAAGUUGGCAGAAGAUGUUUACAUGAGUCCACCGAAAGGUUUUUGUCAAUGCAAAGUACCCUAAUAGAGUGUGUAAGCUUGAGAAAUCCAUUUAUGGAUUGAAACACGCAUCUCGCAGAUGGAAUCUUUGCUUUUAUGAGAAAGUCAAAGAGUUUGGAUUUUCGAGAAGCGAGGAUGAGUCCUGUGUAUAUGUCAAAGCUAGUGGGUGUAUAGUGAGCUUUCUGGUAUUGUAGGAGGUUAAGUCUUGGCUUGGGAAGUGUUUUGCUAUGAAGGACCUUGGCGCAACUGCUUACAUCCCAGGGAUAAGGAUAUUGAGAAACAGGAGUAAAAGACUAAUAGGGGUCCAAUAAAGGUGAGCUACCUAUCCAAAGCAAUACUAAACUAAGUAAGACUCAGAGUCUGAGUACAGAGGCAGAGCUAGUGUAACGCCCGUAGAUCCGAGCUAGUCAAUUUAGAGUUAAUAGGGUCGAAAACAACUUUUCGACAAAUGAUUAUUUAGAAUAAAUAAUCUAAACCAAGUUGUAGAAUAUGUCUCGGGGGUUCCAUACAUAUAAAGAACGCUGAAAUCCAAGUUAUAACGAAGAAUUUAUGGCACGUCGAAGUUUUUCGGCAAAACCGGCACGACACCGGGAAACGUAAAUAGUGAAUUUAUGAUAAAAGACUUUGUAUGAGGAAGUUAUGAAUUUUCUAAGAUUUGGCAUAGUAGUGCACGACCCGAAACUCAAAUUUUAGUUGGAGCAGUUUUUGGCCUAUGCGACCUAAAUGAGAGUUAAAGAUCUCAUUAAUAGGAACUCAACGAAAAAAAUACACAAGAAAACGGAGUCUGUAUGUAGAAGUUAUGAAUUUUACACGGACAUUUAGCAGUAUAAUCUCCUCCUACUGUUAAAUUUAAGAUCAGUCGAGAAUUAGCCGACAAAGUCUAAAUGAAAGUUGUAGAUCUUGUUUUUACCUACGUGUGGAUAUAAAGAACGUCGAAAACGGAGCUCGUAUGCGAAAGCUACGGGGUUUAAAAGUCGACAGGGUGUUGUGCGAAAUCGAGUGACGUGGCUGAAUAUGGGCCAAUGCUUUCUCCCCAAGGCAAGCUACCUGGUGGUAACACCUGGCCAUGGACUCGACGAGUAGGACCCCCUACUCGACGAGUAGAGCAGGAUUCCAGCCUAUAAAUAGAGGUGUCGGGUUCCCUCAUUCUUCACACCAUUCCAACUUCUUCUCUCUCUCUCUCUCUCUCUAAACUCUCACUCUAGCCCCCAAACCCCUCCUAAAGUCUAGGUGAACCUUCUAGCACCCAAAGGAAGCCCCGAGGCUCCCGAAGCCCCAAGAAAAGAGCCUUUCAGCUCAGAAACUCUGCUCCGGCGGAGCCUGGUUUUCGAGAAAAACCCGUUGUAAGUGAGUUAUGCCAACCCUAUCUUUUAUGUAGCUUAUGUUUCAAUAUAGUAAUGUUAUUAGAACCUUAUAAUGAGUAUUUAGGCUAUUAUUAUGAGUUAUAUAAGUGUCGUAAUAAUUUCUUUUUAACCACUCGCAGUACGGGGAAUAUGGUUUAAAGGGCCGCUUGGGUUGCUGGAUUCAGAAGUGCUAUAUGCCGAAAUGAUCCUGCCCUCCGGUGUUUCAUGUCUGGCCCCUGUCUGUACAUAGUGAUUGACAAAUAUUGUUUCAUGCAUAUAUAAUAGUAAUAAUAGAAAGACUAUUAAUUAGUCACGGUGAAUAUUAGACUAAACUCUAUUGGUAAUGAUACCAGGUUUUGUCAAAGGAAAAUUAUGUUAAGAGUAAAGAAGUGUUGUCCGAGUGCUGAGUCACCACCUUUUCAAGUGAGUGCAUGGUCCCUUUUCAUCUUACACAUAGAUAUGAAGUAUUUUAUAUAAACUAUGUGCUGUGUGUGCAUAUUAUCUGUAUAAUUGCUAUCUAUGCUGGAUGAAUGAUGUUAUACAAGUUUUAUAUGAUUUAAACUGUAUAUGUAUUUAUAUCUACAUAAUAUGUUGGGUAAAACAUGGGUAGAUGAAAUAUGAGUUGGAUGAUGAGUUGAGAGGUGAUAUAGACCAUGUGGUAAGGGUGAGAGGUGGACAAUGUGAGAAGCCUUGUUCCCAAAUGUUGGCUCCGUCAUCUAGCAGAGUAUGGAUGACAAUCACGGACAAUUCUAGACAGUCCGGUGGAAUACUAGAAGGCUCGCAACCUGUAGGUGUUGUGAAUGAUGUGUUCAGCGGUGUACUCUAAAAACCCAUUGACAUGUAUUACGAGUGGACUAUCAAAAACGAUACUAUCAAUAAACGAGAUAACCCUAGCAACUGUUCCCAAAGGACAAUACCAACAGUUGCGCCUCAUUGAGAAUGUCACAAUUCUGGCAGCUGCGCCUAAGUGAUAAAACUAGCAGUUAUGCUUGACAAUUGUGUCAUUGACAACGAUGGACUUCGUACCCAUUCUUUAGGAUAAUCCUUGGGAAUGAAUGAAUGAGAAAUAGCUGAUUCUUAGGGUAGAUCGUUAAGAGUAAUGAAGAUAAUGGGGAUGGGUAAUUGGGUUAACUGUUUGAUGAUUAAACAUAAUAAUUAUAUUAUUAUGGGUUGAAAACCCUAUGCACUCACCAGGUUUCACAACCUGACCCACUCAGUUUAUUUAUAUCACAGGUGUUGAUAUGAAGUCACAUUACACUGAGAGAUUAAGGAGAUAUAAAUCACUAGUGNCUGUCUGUACAUAGUGAUUGACAAAUAUUGUUUCAUGCAUAUAUAAUAGUAAUAAUAGAAAGACUAUUAAUUAGUCACGGUGAAUAUUAGACUAAACUCUAUUGGUAAUGAUACCAGGUUUUGUCAAAGGAAAAUUAUGUUAAGAGUAAAGAAGUGUUGUCCGAGUGCUGAGUCACCACCUUUUCAAGUGAGUGCAUGGUCCCUUUUCAUCUUACACAUAGAUAUGAAGUAUUUUAUAUAAACUAUGUGCUGUGUGUGCAUAUUAUCUGUAUAAUUGCUAUCUAUGCUGGAUGAAUGAUGUUAUACAAGUUUUAUAUGAUUUAAACUGUAUAUGUAUUUAUAUCUACAUAAUAUGUUGGGUAAAACAUGGGUAGAUGAAAUAUGAGUUGGAUGAUGAGUUGAGAGGUGAUAUAGACCAUGUGGUAAGGGUGAGAGGUGGACAAUGUGAGAAGCCUUGUUCCCAAAUGUUGGCUCCGUCAUCUAGCAGAGUAUGGAUGACAAUCACGGACAAUUCUAGACAGUCCGGUGGAAUACUAGAAGGCUCGCAACCUGUAGGUGUUGUGAAUGAUGUGUUCAGCGGUGUACUCUAAAAACCCAUUGACAUGUAUUACGAGUGGACUAUCAAAAACGAUACUAUCAAUAAACGAGAUAACCCUAGCAACUGUUCCCAAAGGACAAUACCAACAGUUGCGCCUCAUUGAGAAUGUCACAAUUCUGGCAGCUGCGCCUAAGUGAUAAAACUAGCAGUUAUGCUUGACAAUUGUGUCAUUGACAACGAUGGACUUCGUACCCAUUCUUUAGGAUAAUCCUUGGGAAUGAAUGAAUGAGAAAUAGCUGAUUCUUAGGGUAGAUCGUUAAGAGUAAUGAAGAUAAUGGGGAUGGGUAAUUGGGUUAACUGUUUGAUGAUUAAACAUAAUAAUUAUAUUAUUAUGGGUUGAAAACCCUAUGCACUCACCAGGUUUCACAACCUGACCCACUCAGUUUAUUUAUAUCACAGGUGUUGAUAUGAAGUCACAUUACACUGAGAGAUUAAGGAGAUAUAAAUCACUAGUGAUAACGAAUUAUGCUUAUGUUUCUUUAUUGACGAUGACAUCCCAAUGUUUUAAAAUGAAUAAAAUACAUUUCUUCGUAAAUGCUUUGAUAAUGUAUUUAUCAUGUUUUUCUGGGAACAAAUUCCGCAACUAUUUUCUUUAAAAGGUUACUCUGAUUUUCAAAGUAAAGCAUAAACAAAUCGGUCUUUUCUGUCCAUGAAAACGGGAUGUCACAGAUAGCAGAGAUGAGUCGAAUGCCAUAUGCUUCUGCAGUUGGCUCGAUCAUGUAUGCUAUGACUUGUACUCGCCCUAAUGUGGCCUUUGCUUUGAUCAUGGUCAUCAAAUAUCAAGGGAAUCUAGGUAAAGGUCAUUGGAUUGCAGUUAAGAACAUUCUUAAGUACUUGCGGAGGACUAAGGACUGGGUCCUUACCCUCGGUGGGAGUGAUGACUUGAGAGUGACGGGGUAUAGUGAUGUCAGUUUUCAAACCGAUAGAGAUAAUUUCCGCUCUCAGUUGAGCUGGGUAUUUACCCUGAAUGGAGGAGCAGUGACAUGGAAAAGUUCCAAGUAGGAGACUGUAGCUGAUUCAACGUGCGAGUCAGAUUACAUAGCAGCAAGCGAAGCAUCGAAGCAGGCGAUAUGGUUGAAAAACUUCAUCGAAGACCUUGGAGUCAUACCAUCCAUACAGGAUCCUAUAGAGAUUUUCUGCGAUAAUGAAGGCGCGGUUGCCUUAACCAAGGAACCGAAAGAUCAUGGUAGAUCCAUGCAUAGUAGGGUUAAGCACCUGCAGCAUGCAAGGGGCAUUGGGCUAAUGGACGAUAUUAGUUUUAGUGGUUAGAUAAAUAGAAACUUAUAAUAGCUAAAUAGUAAUUAAUAUUUGAUGAUUAAAUAAAAGAAGUUUUAUUUAUAAGUAAAGUUACUGUCUUGUGUCAAUUAUAUACUAUUGUUUCACUUUGCGUGUUUUGACUUCCAGAAUAAUAAUAUUAUUCAAACCAUCCACAGUCGAUCAUACUUUGGAAGUAGGUAAUGAGGCUAGACUGUCAUGAGUUGGCUUGUAGAUUGUCUAAGGUGUUAGACAUAGCAAAAGUUUGCUACACCAUUCAUGAGUGCCCCUAAAAUAAGAUUUGAGUAUUGGAUUCAACCCGCGCUCACCUGAAUUACUUCAUGGAAUUUAUCUUGAGUAAUUGUGAGACGAUAAUAUCAUAUAAUCUUCAAACCAAGAUAUAUGAGUUAUUGACUACGAGUUGGUUGUGUAUUGAUGGCAUGAAAACGCAUCAGUAAAUUGAUGUUAUAAAACGUGUCGUUGUGCAUGAUUUGAUGAGUAGUUAGUACAAGCAUAUAAUGUCGAAGUUUAUAUGUUCCUUUUAUCCUAUGAGGAUUAAAAGCGAUAUCUUGGGCCCCUCGAUGAUUCUGUAAUGGCUAUGUGUCGGGCCCGAUCAGAACUAAAUUGAUGUGUUUAGUUAUGUUCUAUGUCAGACGAAUCAGAAAUCGGGAAACAAAUUGCAGGAAAAUAAGUAUAACUAUGUUCCAUGUAUUUGUCCGCAUAGAUAUCUUGAGAACAGAGGAGUAUAUGUUCCCUUAUCUGAAGGACGUGUCACUAACUAGGUCAGAGUUCGACAAAGGCUUUUGAAAGCUUACGAUUGUUAAGUCGGAUCCUGAAGUUGUUGGGUUUUGAGCAUUAUAACACUCCUAAGUAUACAUGAAACCCUAAAUACCUUGGAUCUAUGUUUUCUCUAUUAUACAUACAAAUAUGAACAUCCAAGGUAUUAUCCUAAUCUAGCAUAUAAAAUAAUGAAUAUAACAAGAUAGAAUACAUACCUCUCUCAUGUAGAAAGUCUUCAUGAAGCUUGAGUGCCAAGUGCCCCAAGUGUGACACCUCAAAUGGUUCACACAACACCAAAUACACUUGGAAUAACUUGAGAGAAUUCUACACUUCAUGAAAAUCGGCUAGCCCUCUCUAGAUCAUACUCUAGUGGCUGAUUUUGGUCAAGAAUAAGAUCUUUAUAUAGUGUUACAAUUAGGGUAAACCCUAAUUGUCAUGACUUUCCAUUUCCUUGGAUCCAUGGGUUCAAAUACACCAUGGAGCAUCCAUGGACCAUCCUAUGGGUUUUAGCCCAACUUGAUUAUCCAUGGAGCAUUAGCCCACUAUACAAGUAUGGAUGAUUUACACAAUCAACCCAUAUAUUUAAUUAGUCUUCUUUUGAUCACUUAAUUAAUCCUAGAUUAAUUCUUGAUCAAUACUAAUUAAAUAAUCUUAUUAUUCUUAUUAUUAAUAUACUAGAACUUAUAAUAUAUUAAUAACCAUAAGUGUCUUAUUUCUCUCAUUANCUUACGAUUUCUAAGUUGGAUCCUCAAGUCAAAUUGGCAAUUAUAGUUAUUAGACUUAUUCAAGUGGGAGACUGUUGGAUUUGGUGUCUAAGCCCAUAACUAUAACCGGGAUGUACUUGACCCGAUUGUAGCAUGGUCCUUUUGGGUUGCCUUCACCAGGGCAAUUUGAUAGGAUGGACUCUUGAGAAUAAGGUUAUUUAUGAUUUAUUAAUAUAUUAUAAGUCAAUUAUAUUAAUAUGAAAUUAUAUUAUUUAAUUAGUAUUGAUCAAGAAUUAAUUUGGAAUUAAUUUUGUGGUCAAAAGAGACUAAUUAAAUAUAUUGAGAUUGAUUAUGUAAAUCAAUGAUUCUUAUAGUGUGGGCUAAUGAUCCAUGAUAAUUUAGAUGGGCUAAACCAAUGAGAUAAUCCAUGGAUAGUCCAUGGUGGUUAAAACCAUGGAGCAUAAGAAUGUGAAAGGUCAUGGAGCAUUAAGGUUUGCAUGAAUGUAACACUAUCUUAGCAACACUAUAAAAGCACAUCCCUAGAACCAAAAUUGGUUACACCAUCAUUCUAAGAAGUUUGAUAUUGAUUUUGAGCUAAGUAACUUAUUCUCUCAAGCCUCCUCUUGCAUAUUGGUUUUUGUGAACCAUUAGAGGCAUCACACUUGGGGUGCUCAAGCUUUCAAAGGUCAAGAACUACAAGUCCUUCUAAGAGGUAAGUCAUCUAACUAGUUGUAUUGUUCAUUGUUCAAUUGUAUGCUAGUUAGGGAGAAUGCUUUGGAAAAAUUGAAAAUGCAUGUAUAAUUAGAGAAAACAUACAUCCAAAGCACUUAGUGUUAUAGUGCUCAAAACCCAACAAAGAGUUAGUUUCUCUCAAGGAUGUUAACAGGAAAUGUUCAGGCUGUCGUUUCAUCGUUGGAUCAGAUUUAUGAGUAUUGGUCAACAUGGUUGAGGUUCGAGUGUCUGGAAGUUAGGCAUAGUUACAGAGUCUUCAGAUUAUGGAUAAGGAAGUUAGGUCUUCUCGAUCUGGUUUAGUUGUAAAGUGUUAGUGUUGCCUCUUUGUCGGGUCUCACGUUUCCAACCAAGGAUUAAGUUGGCUUUUGGGAUUGAAGGGAAGUGUCUGUUUUGAUCAAUUUCCCAGUGUUGUGAUGGUCAUGAAUUCGACAUUUGGGAAUUCCGCUAGGGUUUGUCUUAUUUGCUUGGUUUUAGAAAUCCUUAUGACUGUGGCGGAAGUUUCAAGCAUUCAGGGUGGGGUCGAUUGAAAAAACCAUAAGGGGUUCGGAGUGUGUUUUAAGAGUAAUUUGUAAGGACAAAUUUCGAGGAAAAAGUCUAAUUUAUGCAGGGGAGAUUUGUAAUACCCUUUUUCUAGAAUGGUUUAGCCAAAGAGUUAACAAGAUCAAAGAUGGUGUUUUUGUAGAAAACCCUAAGCCGCAACGUAGUGCAAAGAUGAACACGACAUGGAAUGGGUUUUAUGGAAUACACAUUUUAGGAGAGCACCACAACAUGACAAGAAUGUUGCCAUGACAUGACGAGUGCUGGAGCCCAAGCUUAUGAUUUUUAGGGUUUCACCCAUAUUUUUAAAGGCCUUAACUCUAAGGUUAGCUCAUUUCCCUCGGCCUCCAUUCUCCUAUUUUGAAACCUUAGCCCCAUUUGAGUGUUCUUGAUGAGCUCUUUGAAUUCUUGAAGUUUGAAGCCUUGGUUUGUACUUUGUGAAGAAGAAGAAGAAGGCGUGCUUGCUAGUUAGAAGAGUGUAUCUACUUCAGAUCUUGCAUCUCCUGAAUCUCGUGGAGCUUGGGAAGGUAUAAAGCCUCCACAUGUAUCAUCCUUUUCCAUUAUUUCAUGCCAUGAAGUCCCUUGAUGGAGUGUUCUUUGAGUUUUGGUCAACUCCUGAACCUUAGGCUUGUUUGGUGACCAUUUUUUUGGUCAUAUGUGAUGGAAAAAGUAUUAAGUCUUUGUCCCCUUUGCUCUAUGAUCAAGUUGAGGUCUUAUUAAGGGUUUUAUGGACUUAGGAUUUUAUAUUUUGUCUUGUGGUGAGGUCCUAAUGGAUAAAGUUGGAAACUUUAUCCAUUAAGUCACUAAGAAGAACUAAAUAUGGAAGUUUGAGCUUUGGUAUGUAAGAAUUAAGCUCUUAAUGACAAAAUGGCUUCUGGCAAUAGCCACAACAUGGAGAAGAGGUCUCCAUGUUGUGGAAUAGGUUCAGUCUCACGACUGUUUUGUAUGGACAUUCCCACGACGUGGCCAAGAGGUUAUCAUGUCGUGGUGACAGUUGACCUGAUUGAUCGUUGAUUCCUGACCUGUUUGACUUGGGGCCAAAGUUAGAGGAUUUGGAUUGUUGAUUGAGGAUUUAUCUCCUUUGGUGUUAGUUUGUUUGAUUGAGCAUAAAUAUUUUUUGCCGAUAGCAAACCACAACUUUCGAAUCUGGUACCGCUGCUUUCAGAUAUGGAACCAACAUCUUUAGAUCUAGAACCAUCAGCUUCAGAUUUGGAACCAUCGCCUUCAGAUCUGCAACCAACACUUCUAGAUCUAGGGAUGAGAUUUAGAACCAGAAAACCGAACUGGAAUCGGAAUCGGACCGGAACCGGAACCGCUAGAACCAUAAUAUAUUGAACCAUUUCCGGUUCCGGGUUUAAAAAUUGGGUUUAUCCGGGUUCCGGGUAAUCUGGGUUUGCGUCCAUCGGUUCCAGGUAAACCAGGUCUAAAAACCGGAACCGUUGUUAGGAACCAGAACCACUUUUAGGGUCGGAACCGAUUUUUGUGAAACGUUUAAAAGAUGCAUAUCUCAUUCGUUUAAACUCCGAUUGACAUGUGGUUUUUUCUAAUGUGUAGCUUAGAGUUUGUACAUGAUUUUAAACAAUAAAUUUUUCAUUUUUAGUUUUAUAUUCAUUGACUUACAGUCCCCCAAAGUUGAGAUAUUAAAGCUGAAAGUUUAUGGUUUUUCAGUUUUUUUUUUUUUGUAUUCUGUGAAAGUUUUAAAACAUGCAUAUCUAAUUCAUUUGAAGUCGAAUUGAUAUGUGGAUUUUUCCAAAUUGUAUUUUAGAGUUUGUACAUGAUUUUUGGACUAUAAUUUUGUCAUUUCUGGUUUAAUAUUCAAUGAUUUAUAGUCCCCCGAAGUCGGGAUAUCAAAACUGAAAAUUUUCAACUUUUCAGCUAUUUGUUUUUGUAGUUUGUAUUAUGUGAAAAUGUUAACAGAUGCAUAUCUCAUUCGUUUAAAGUCGGAUUGACAUGCAAUUUUUUCCAGUGUGUAGUUUAAAGUUUGUACAUGAUUUUAGACUAUAAUUUUGUAAAUCUUGGUUUCAUAUUCAAUGAGUUACAGUCCCCUAAAGUCGGAAUAUCAAUAUGAAAAUUUUCAAAGUUCAACCCACUAAGUAGUAAGUAAUUGCCAAAAAAUUCCGGUUUUUUCUGGUUUUCCGGUUCUAAGCUCACUUUAUCCGGUUCCACCCUAUCCACUUUGAUGUCCGGGUCUUCCGGUUCAAGACCCACUUUACCCGGAACUGAACCGGAACCGGUUCCUAUAUACCGGUCCGGUUUCCGGUUCUACAAAAUCCCGUUAACCGGUUCUAGGUUUUCCGGGGCCGGGUCCAUUCGGUCCGGGUUUGGACCCACUUUCAUCCCUAUCUAGAUCUAUGAUUUUCCGUUGUCACUAUAUAAUAUGAUCAUAUAUGUUGUUUUUGAUGCGAUUUCCUUAGAUCUAAUACCGUCAUCAUCACCGUCGUCGACCGCUACAUGUCAACGAAUGUUGCCACUGGCCGUACAACUUCCCUCGGAAUGUCGAUUCAGAAACAUUUUUUGCUUUAGGAGUAGUUUUGUAAGAUGAUAAUUAUUAAUAAAAUUAAAACAAACCAAAUUAAUAUUACCGUUUUGGUGUAUUAAGAAUUAAAAUUUAUUUUUAUCUAUUUCAAUAUUUUAAUUUUUAGAAGUGUCUAACUCUUCUUAUAUCAAACUAUAUAUAAAAAAGUUAGCUUAUUGUGUGUAUUUUGUACAUGGUAGUUUUAUUCUAUCAAUGACAAGUAACAGUAACAAUUAGAAAGAUUAUAUGAUGUAAAAUGAUGAUGAAAAUAGUUCAAAACAAUUACUAUGUUUUUUCCCCUUAAAAUCACAUUUAAUAUUUUUCUUAAAAUUAAACACCUUUUCUUGAAAGAGAGUUAUCUUGAUGGAAAUUGCAAAAUGAAAGAAAUAAUACAUCACUUAGGCUUUGCUUGGCGUACUAGCUAAAAAGCUGGCUGAUAGCUGAAAAACUAGCUGUUAAAUAAAAAGCUAGCUGAUAGCUGAAAAGCUAACUGAUAAAAAAUGACGUUUGGUAAAACUAGCUGAAAAGCUAGCUGAAAUAUAUAAAAUUACAUAAAAGGACAUGUGAGAGUAUGUGUUUCUAUAAUUAAUUAAGGGGUAUAUUUGGAAAUUUUUAAAAAAGCUCCUAAAAAGCUAGUCUAAGUAGCUUUUCAAAAAGCUAGCUUAUAAGCUACUUUUUGGCUUACCAAACACGACAACAUAAAAAAGCUCAAAAAAUAAGCUAGCUUAUCAGCUAGCUGUAGCGCGCCAAACACAACCUAAAUGUGAGGUUCCACCAAAUCAUGAACAACCUUAUAUGAGAUUCCUUUCUUUUGGAAAGAUUUGGGUGUGGUCCAAUGGUUUGACAUGAAAAGCAUUAUCAUAUUUCUUUUUAUGUAUCUUCCUUUUUGUUAUAAAAUUGUAGUAAUUGAAAGUUAAGUAAUCAUAGAAUCUUACUUUAUUAAAAGUAAGUUCCCACCCAAUUUCCCUGUCUUUCUUUUAAUUUUUCACUCUUUAUAAAUUACCUCACAUAUUCACUACUCAAAAACAAGUUAGAAACUGUGUGUUUUAUAGAAGAGAAUCAGUAAUAAUAAGUAUAUGUGCCCCCGCCACCUUUCCAACGUUGAAAAUACAUAGAGCAAAUCGACAUGCUUUCUCAUUGUCACAAGUUGUAAAUCUAACUUGUAAGUAUGUAAAAGCACCUCAUAAUAUAAUUAUUUAUGAGUUAAUGUACACUAUGUUAAUGCCAUUAAAGUCUUUGAUUUUGUGUACGUUUAUUCUUACUAGGAAAAGGAAAAGCUUUUAUGAAAAAGAUUAUAAUAACAAGUAUAAAAUAUGAUAUGAAAUUGCAUUGCAUUGUAUUUUUUUUAAAAUUAUUUUAAUAGCUAGUCAAUAUAUUACAAAUUAUAUAAUGCCACUACACUAUAGACAUCGAAAGUGAAACAAUGAGAAACAUUUUCUGGACAACAUAACCUUAAUUUUUCAUUAGAAGUGUUAGAUAUUUUCAAAAUUAAAUAAAUUAUUAUGUAUAAAUACCCUUCUCUAUCUGAAAAAACCAUACAUUAUGUAUAAAUAAAUAUAUAUAUUUUUAAAAAACAUUUUCGACAUAAAAAGAAACGCUAAAAAGUAGAAUCUAUUCACGUGUUUGGUUCUACAAAGGGAAUUUAAUCCCCACUCAUCUGAGAUACACUGCACUUCAUCUUCAUCUGCUUUCCUUUCUCCCUCUUCAUCUACACUUCCUUUGCCGGCGAACAAUCUCUCUUCUGAAAGCCCACCAACUUAACUUCGCCACCGAUGCACCAAACGUCCUCAUCAGCAGCCUCUGUGGAAGCAUUUUAUAUGAAGAAUCAGUGUUGUCGAUAACUGUGUCCAGAUUGCAAUUGAUCAAACGCGUGGUGGACAAGGUUGCAGGAAGAACACAUGGGGAAAAAAAGGAGAUCCGGGUCUCCGCUCUCCGGUCACCACUCACAAGUAAGAUCGAUUAAUAUUUGGCCGGAAACCGACCGGUCUUGUUUAUAUUUCUAAUCAAUUUUCUUUCUUGCGUCAACUCAUGGUUAGGCCGUUCGAUGAUCAUGGUUGAACCUGUAUUUUUUUGUUAAUUUAUCUGUCCAUGACCUGUUGAUCAACAAUUAGGAAAAGAGUAUUAUAAUUUAGUCAUGGUUUUAUAUAUUAGUAGUAGAUCUUUAAAUUUGCAUUUCUUGUUGACUCUUUUGGAAAAAAUCAAGUAAAAACUUUUCUCUUAAUUGCUCUUAUAUCGAUUAUAUUUACUUUUUGUUGUAUGUAUGUCUACUAAUUACUAAUUGAUCACUAACUAUAUUAUAAAUUUUGAUGUACACAUUUUUUACAAUAAUCGAAGAGAGGAAUAAUUACUUAUUGAUCACUAACGAUUAGGUUUUAUUUGUAUUCUAUAGAUUAUAUAUCAAAUAUCUACUAAAUAAUACAAUAUACAAAGGUUUUCAUAAUAAUUUAACAGAGAGAUAAAAAGCUUUUCGUAUUUGGAAAUACCACUUUAAGCUUUUGUUUUCAAGAUAAAACGUCAUCAUCAUCCAUGUUUUUUUGUCAAAAGACCAUACUACCCUUCUUUUAAUAAAACCUUGUACUCCUUUUUAUCUUUUGUUGUAGAGAAACUCAUUUUAUUUUUUUACCAAAGACCACAUGAUUGACUUUGUUCCUAAAAAGAAAACAUCUUACUUUUUAAUUACUAAAUCUCGAUUGGUUUUAAUCUUCAGAGUUUUCAUCUUCUUAAGUUGCAUUAUUUCGAUUGUUGCAGCCUAAUCAUCAUCUUAAACUUAUUAUUAUUCUUUUGAUAUCCCACAAUUAGUGUUAACAUAUGGACAUAUGAUCAUGAUAUAUUGUGGUACAUGAAAUAUGUUGUCCAAAAAUUCACUAUAAUAGAAAAAUAAAAAAUUUAUUUUUGAAUAAUUUGAUAAGUAGUUUUAUAUAAUCAAUCUCCAAAUUUCAACAUAAAUAAUAAUAAUAAUAAAUAAUUAUUAUCGUUUCCAUGAUUUUGAAUGUAUGUUACAUAAAAGGAAGGAAAGGUGAACAUUUUUUUUUGUCUAUUUGUUGUUUAUAAAAAUAAAUGAUGUUAUUGCAUGAAAAGGAAAUAAUAGUUCACUUAAUUUCUUGUAAUAAAUAUAUUUUUUGUUACUUUUUCCAUUAAACACUUUCACAUUGUUGAAGUGACGAAGGAAGUUGUAAGGAAGGUUCCACAAAACUAGACUUGGCAAUCUAUGUCUGCGUGUCGUGUAUUCGUGUCACACAUGAAUUUACACGACAUGAAUUUGUUAAACACGAACACAACACGAAUUAUAAAACGUGUUUGGGGUAUCAAACACGAACACGACAUGUAAAAAAUUCGUGUGACACGUGACACCACACGAAUAGACACGUUUUUAAUGGCUUUUUUUUAAAGUUAGGGAUAUAAACUAAUUAUUGAGUUUUAUGAAAUUGUUCCCUAAUAUAUUAUAAAUAUAAAAUUUAACCCUAAUAUAUAUAUAUAUAUAUAUAUAUAUAUAUAUGUGUGUGUGUGUGUGAAUAUNAUAUAUAUGUGUGUGUGUGUGUGUGUGUAUCACAUGUCAACAUGAAUUUGUAUCGUGUCUAAACGUGUAAAUUUGUGUUUGACACGUGUAAGACACGAAACAUGAAUUUAAAAUGUGUCAGAUACGAAUAAACACGAAACAUGAAUUUCUAAAACACAUACACGAAAAACUCGUAUCGUGUUAAUCGUGUCAUGUAGCAAAUUGUCAGGUCUACACGAAACUUCAUGGUCAUCCUUUAUACUUUAUAUAAAGUCUAUUCCUCUAUAUAUUCACUAUCAUCAAGAACUAGACACCAUAUCCAAAACAAAUUAGAAGAGAAUCAAUGGCAUCUCCUAAUUUCCUAAUCUUCUAUCUCAUCUUGUAACUUUCUCUCUUUUUCUCUCUAGCUUUUACUCUUAUUGGCAUUUGAUAAAAUAUAAAUUUUGAAAAUUGAAUCACUUGUGAAGUUUCUUGGAGUUAAUCCUCAAAAUAAGAACUUACAAGUAGAGUGUGUGCAUGAAGCUUUCUUUACACAGAAGUUAACUUCGAUAACACGGCUAUGAAAUUACCAUAUAUUAAUCCAAAAUGUAGAUUACAUUUUAACAUACCCCUUAAUCUAGGCUUGAGUUACUUCUUCCUUUGUCCUCAAAUCUUGGAUGUUUAAUACUUUUAAUGAUUGUACGUUUGUUUUGUGAUUUCUUCAUGUGUACUCCUUUGCAACACAAGGUGAAAAACCUAUCAUAUACACCGUUCCAUUUGUUCUUUUGUUUAUCUUCUUUGAUUCUAUAUUUUUCUUUUUCACAAAUAUCUUCUCUUCCUUCUUUUAGUGUUUAAUUUCAACCAUCAUCCUUAUCCACCUGUUUAACAUUAACGAAAGAACGAAAGUAGCCACAUGUGACCAUUCCAUUGACACCCUAUAACCCUUCUUGAAAACUGGAUAAAGAUAAAAUAAAAUAAAAUAAAACUUUUUUCAUGCAUUGACUUUAAUCCUUCUUAGAACUCAUACAUCCCUUUCAGAAUAGAAAUCUGAUUCAUUUACUAUCGUUUGAUAUCAUGACGUUUCUUUCCUUCACUUUUGUAAGUACCCACGUGAUCAACCUUCUCUUCCCCUUUUCAAACAAUUUGUCUUCUUUUGAGUUAUUGUUGGUUCGUAUAUCACUCUUUAUUUAUUGAAAUCAAUAUCCAUUAAACCAUACCUUGAAGACCGUUCCUUUUCUUGACCAAAUAUUUUUGUAAGCUUGUAGAAUCAAUUCUCCAAAAUCCUUUCCUUAAUUCCUUAAGCUGGUCGGUGUGGUAAACGCCCACAUCGGCGUUUUUAGAUAAAAACAAAGAAACAGAGUUAAAUGAAGGUGGUGGUGGCAACGGGAAGCAACAACAGAUGUAUAACGUCCAAAAACGGUAAAGGGGGCGGUUUUUGUGUGUUAUAACGCCCACAGGGCGUUGCCCAUACCCAACAUCAUUAUCUUCACUUGGUUUUAUUUCAUCAUAGCUUUAGUGCAAAUAAAGCUUUGUCGUUAUUUGUUGUUACACUUUUCCCAUAUUCCUUAUUAAAAAUCUAUAUAUUAAUUUUGAGAUAGUUUUAUUAAUUUAAAAUGUAUUUUAUUUUUAGGAUAGUUUUGUUGAUUUUAGGACUUUAUCCGCUACAAGAAAAAACGAUUAUUAGCGGCGACAAAAAAUCAUCGCAAAGAGUUUGCUUAGUCACCGACAAAAGUAAUAACGGAGACAAGUCGUUGCUACUGUCCCUUGUUAUUGAUCAAAAUGUCGCCGCUAAAGCUUAUUGUCGCCAUUAGUAGAUCCAAAUGAGAUGUACUUCCAAUUAGUUUAAACCAAGAUAUACUUGUCGUGCUUCGCCACAUAUAUAGAUAUGGACAGAGAAAAAGGACGAAAGUUAUACUUAUCCUUAACAUAUGUGCGUGUGUGUGUGAACAUAAUGUUGAAAUGUAAAACUCAUUUAUCUAAAUAUUUGAUUUCCCUAGCAUUAUGUGUGCUCCUUCUAUCUCCCCCGACAUCUACCAAUUAUAUUAGUUAAUUAUCAUUUUAAACCAAAUAAGUAUUAGGCUAGCGGUAUCAAGAAUUGACUGAUAGGUGUUUAUCGGUAUCGGUAAAAAAAAAGUGAGGGUUCAAGCCUCGAGUUGGGAUGAUAUGUGUUGAUAUAAGAGUAGAACAGCGAGUGCAUGUGUAAACCGUUAAAAUAAUUAAUUUUCAUUUUAAUCUCAAUUUAUGUCAAUUAAUUAUUUAACGUUAUGUAUUUUAUUGACAUUUAUCUUCCUUUGUUUUUGGUCCUUACUAGUUUAAUGUCCAUGAGUCCAUCGCCAAUUCUUUACAACAACUUUAGACUUCAAAUACUACAAAAUGUCAUAUCUACUUUUAACUUUCAUAUAUCAUUUUUGACACUAACAGAGUGUUAAUGCUCUUUUUUAUUAUUCGAUAUAAUAAAUAUUUUUAUUAUUUAAUCAUAAUCUUUUUUCGUUAUUACUAUAUUGGUAUAUUUCCCACGGUACGUUUCAACUUUGCCGGUGGUGCUUCCAUGAAAUUUAGAUCUCAAUACUAAAUACUAUCUUGUAUACCAAAUCUCAACGGUAUGUUAUAUGAUAUAUGUUAAGUCCCCAUUUUGUAAGUUAGACAAGAUAAAAUAUAAUAGGUCGACUAUAUGUAUGAUUUGACGAGGAUUGGGACCUAUGCCAUUGUGACAUAAAAAGCCAAGAAAACUUGUCCAUUCUCGUGUAAUAAUUAUAACCUAAUGUUAUGCUAGAAGUACAAUAAACAAAAAGAAUAGAUGUAAUACAAACGAAAUUGAAUUAGAUGUAAUAUACAAGAAUCAAUUCAUAAGAAAAACGUACUUGAGUGUAGAUUACAACAUAUUACAAACUCGAAUUUGUGUAGAGAGUGAAGCAUGCGAAGUUGCAGUGUCCUAAGACAUGAAUUCUUCUAACAGGGAUCUAUCUAGAGGAUACAACAAUCUAAUCAAUAUAGGAUCUUGAUUUUGAUGAAAUUCAGUAACUUCCCUUCAUUAAUGUAGAAUCCGAAAAUAUAGGAAGAAUAUGUGAGUGUUUGUCUAAUCCUUAAAUGUGAUAUUUGAUGAUGUAUUUAUAGGUUUCAUAUUGGCAGUUAAUCAAUUCCAACCAACACACCCGUUCAAAACCAAAAUUAACUGCUAAUUAACUAUCUAAUAAUUACUUAACAAUUAACAUAUUUAAUAAUUAAAUAAAAUUCGGAAUUAAUACAUAAUAAUAUUAAUA
rnacentral:lncRNA from 1 species